GAAACCCUAGCCCCCUCGCAGUCCUUCCCCCCUCGCGCCCUUGGCUCUCUCUCUCUCGCGCGCCCAGCUGAGCCCCUCGUCGCUGCCGUCCCUUCACCGCCACGGCCAGCCAAGGCGCCCAGGAGGACCACCGUCGUCGUCCUCUUCGGCUACGGGGGCGCGUUCAAGCCCGGAGCCACCACAUCGACUUGAUCGACGCCAUCUUCUUCCUCGGUCGUCGCCGCUGUUCUUCAUCGAUCCGUCGCCUCUGCAGCUCCUAAGCCACCAAUGGGCCUCCGUGUGCCUCCGCGACCACGAGACUGCCGGCGACCCCCAGUUCGACUACGGUGUUGACGACUUGUCCUUCUUGCCAGAGCAACCAG
rnacentral:rRNA from 1 species